AUGAACAUGUGUGCAUCAAUUCUUACCCUGUUUGGGGAGGCAUCGGGCCUCCGCGUCAACCUUGCAAAGAGCGCGGUCUACCCUAUACGAUGCUCUGACGAGAUCAUGGAAUCAGUGGAGAGAGCACUUGGAUGCCCGAGAGGCGCCUUCCCAUGCAAAUACCUUGGUCUGCCGCUCACCCUGAGAAAACAGUCACAUGUACAGCUAUCAGGCCUUGUGGACCAACUAGCAACGGCAUUGCCAAAAUGGAAAGCAGCAAGGAUGCCAAAGAGUGGAAGAAUGCUUCUUGUUCAAUCUGUACUCUGUGCAAUUCCGCUGCACGCGAUGAUGGCGCUCGACCUCCCACAGAAGACAAUUUCAGCAAUGAACGGAAUAUGCCGCAGCUUCUUAUGGUGCGCUGAGUCAAGCUCGUCUGGCGGAAACUGCACAGUCGCUUGGGAGGCUGUGUGUGCCCCCAAAUGGGCGGGUGGAUUAGGCAUACCUAACCUAGGGUGGAUGAACAAAGCUGUGCAUGCCAGGUGGCCUUGGUUACAGAGAUCAGACACAUCGCGACCAUGGGCAGAAUUUGACAUCACAGUACCAAAAGCUUCAAGACAACUCUUCAACGCGGCUGCUCACUGGGUUCUCGGCGACGGAAAUACAACACUCUUUUGGGAAGAUAGAUGGCUCGAAGGACACCGGAUCGUGGAGAUUGCA
rnacentral:rRNA from 1 species